rnacentral:rRNA from 1 species
UACGUAGGGUGCGAGCGUUAAUCGGAAUUACUGGGCGUAAAGCGUGCGCAGGCGGCUUUGCAAGACAGAUGUGAAAUCCCCGGGCUUAACCUGGGAACUGCAUUUGUGACUGCAUUGCUGGAGUGCGGCAGAGGGGGAUGGAAUUCCGCGUGUAGCAGUGAAAUGCGUAGAUAUGCGGAGGAACACCGAUGGCGAAGGCAAUCCCCUGGGCCUGCACUGACGCUCAUGCACGAAAGCGUGGGGAGCAAACAGG